GACGAACGCUGGCGGCGUGCUUAACACAUGCAAGUCGAACGGAAAGGCCCUGCUUUUGUGGGGUUCUCGAGUGGCGAACGGGUGAGUAACACGUGAGUAACCUGCCCUUUACUUUGGGAUAACUUCAGGAAACUUGGGCUAAUACCGGAUAGUAUCUCCUGCUGCAUGGUGGGGGUUGGAAAGUUUCGGCGGUUGGGGAUGGACUCGCGGCUUAUCAGCUUGUUUGUUGGGUAGUGGCUUACCAAGGCUUUGACGGGUAGCCGGCCUGAGAGGGUGACCGGCCAAAUUGGGACUGAGAUACGGCCCAGAAUCCAACGGGAGGCAGCAGUGGGGAAUAUUGCACAAUGGGCGGAAGCCUGAUGCAGCAACGCCGCGUGCGGGAUGACGGCCUUCGGGUUGUAAACCGCUUUCGCCUGUGACGAAGCGUGAGUGACGGUAAUGGGUAAAGAAGCACCGGCUAACUACGUG
rnacentral:rRNA from 1 species